AUUGAACGCUGGCGGCAGGCCUAACACAUGCAAGUCGAACGAGUGGCGGACGGGUGAGUACUGUGUGGGAGACUGCCCGCUAUAGGGGGAUAACUACUGGAAAAAGUGGCUAAUACCGCAUACCCUCAGAUGUGCGCAGAGGGGGUUAGCUCGUAGGUGGGGUAAUGGCUCACCCAGGCGCCGCUCCCUAGCUGGGCUGAGAGGAUGACCAGCCACACUGGAACUGAGCCACGGUCCAGACUCCUACGGGAGGCAGCAGUGGGGAAUAUUGCACAAUGGGCGCAAGCCGGAUGCAGCCAUGCCGCGUGUAUGAAGAAGGCCUUCGGGUUGUAAAGUACUUUCAGCGGGGAGGCGUUACCCGCAGAAGAAGCACCGGCUAACUCCGUGCCAGCAGCCGCGGUAAUUC
rnacentral:rRNA from 1 species